UGGGGAAUUUUGGACAAUGGGCGAAAGCCUGAUCCAGCAAUGCCGCGUGUGUGAAGAAGGCCUUCGGGUUGUAAAGCACUUUUGUCCGGAAAGAAAUCCUUGGCUCUAAUACAGUCGGGGGAUGACGGUACCGGAAGAAUAAGCACCGGCUAACUACGUGCCAGCAGCCGCGGUAAUACGUAGGGUGCAAGCGUUAAUCGGAAUUACUGGGCGUAAAGCGUGCGCAGGCGGUUUGCUAAGACCGAUGUGAAAUCCCCGGGCUCAACCUGGGAACUGCAUUGGUGACUGGCAGGCUAGAGUAUGGCAGAGGGGGGUAGAAUUCCACGUGUAGCAGUGAAAUGCGUAGAGAUGUGGAGGAAUACCGAUGGCGAAGGCAGCCCCCUGGGCCAAUACUGACGCUCAUGCACGAAAGCGUGGGGAGCAAACAGGAUUAGAUACCCUGGUAGUCCAGCGCCCUAAAACGAUGUCAACUAGUUGUUGGGGAUUCAUUUCCUUAGUAACGUAGCUAACGCGUGAAGUUGACCGCCUGGGGGAGUACGGUCGCAAGAUU
rnacentral:rRNA from 1 species